rnacentral:rRNA from 1 species
UUGGAGGCAGUCUGGUGCCAGCAGCCGCGGUAAUUCCAGCUCCAAUAGCGUAUAUUAAAGUUGUUGCAGUUAAAAAGCUCGUAGUUGAAUUUCGGGAUCAGCAAGUUGGUCGUGCCUCUGGUACGUACUGACUUUACUGGUUCCUCCUUCUUGAAGAACUGCAAUGUCAUUAAUUUGGUGUUGCAGGGAAACAGGACUGUUACUUUGAAAAAAUUAGAGUGUUUAAAGCAAGCUAACGCUUGAAUACAUUAGCAUGGAAUAAUGAAAUAGGACGUUUGAUCCUAUUUUGUUGGUUUCUAGGAUUGACGUAAUGAUUAAUAGGGAUAGUUGGGGGCAUUAGUAUUCAAUUGUCAGAGGUGAAGUUCUUGGAUUUAUUGAAGACUAACUACUGCGAAAGCAUUUGCCAAGGAUGUUUUCAUUAAUCAAGAACGAAAGUUAGGGGAUCGAAGACGAUCAGAUACCGUCGUAGUCUUAACCAUAAACUAUGCCGACUAGGGAUCGGAUGAUGUUAAUUUUUUAAUGACUCAUUCGGCGCCUUACGGGAAAC